GGGGAUGUAGCUCAAUGGGAGAGCGCUUGCUUUGCAUGUAAGAGGCCCUGGGUUCAACCCCCAGCAUCUCUU
rfam:Tauraco erythrolophus contig22272, whole genome shotgun sequence.